GUUUUUUUUUAAUAGUUUUUUUUUAAUCACAUUGCUAUACAACCCUAAACAAUGUAUUUUUUUAGUUUUUCUUGCGUCUGAGCUCUUGAACCAUACCUUGUGUCAUCUGUGACUUGCUUUCCUCGCUCAAUGUGAGUUCUAAGAUUCAGCCAUAGGGGUAGCCCCACUUACCCUGUUUUUGCUACUGUGCUACCUUCCGUUGUCGGAAUAUACCACACUUUCUUUAUCUUACCUGCUCAUGGACGGCAGGUUGUUUCUGGUUUUCUGCUCUGAUGAAUGACGCCGUCCUGACAUUCCCCGCAUGUGUUCCUUGCGUAACUCCCUGGUAAACCAGCAUCCCAGUGAUCGUCCGGCCACCCGCGUGCCUCCCCUGUGCGUGCUCGUGUCUUAGUGCUCAGGGUGUUUCUGUGGAUCUUCUAUCCCGCCUUUAUUACUUAAUUUUUUACUUUCUUUUAUUACUUUACUUAUUAUUUUAAGACACUGACUUUAUUACUUUAGUGUUAAAGUAAGUCUUGAUGUCUGGUGAGCAAAUCUUCCUAUCUUGUUCCUCUUCUCCCAGAGUCAGCUUGUCAAGUUCCAAGGGGGAAAAAUCAGUAAGAAUUCCAUGGUUAUGCUAUAACCAACAAUUGAUAUCUUUACUGACUUCUCCAAAAUGUCCACAUGGGGUCACUCUCCUAGUACUUAGGUCACUCUCUGGGCGUUUAGGAAUUUUUCUUAAUUGUGGCAAAAUACACAUAAAAGUUACCAUCUUAACCUUUUUUUUUAAGUAGGCUCCAAGCUCGACGCAGGGUAAAAAGAUCAUGACCCAGACACUCCACUGACUGAGCCACCCAGGCACCCCCCAUCUUAACCAUUUCUAAGUGUAGAGUUCCAUAGUGUCAACAAUACUCAACAUUAUGCAGCCAUAAUCAUCAUGUGUUUAGGUACUUUUGAAAAAUAAUUGUUCUUUUAAAGUUCUUUCAUAUCUUUUUUUUCCCAGUUUUAUUGAGAAAUAGUUGACAUACCUCACUGUAUGGCUUAGGAGGUACAUACAGCAUGAUGGUUUGACACAUAUAUUGUGAAACGAUCACAGUAGAGUUCAGCUAACAAUCAUCUUCUCAUAUAAAUACAAUAAAAAGAAAAGCAGGAAGAAAAGAAGAAAGAAAAAUAAUUUUCUCCUGGUGGUGGGAAUGCUUAGGAUCUACUCUCUUGAGAACCUUCCUGUCUGUCACACAGUGGCGUUGACUAUGGUCGUCAUGUUGUACAUUGCAUCUCUAGGAGGUCAGUAUCUUAUAACUAGGAUUUUGUGCCUUUUGACCCUUUCCUCCAAUUCUCCUUCCUCCCACUUUCGUAUCUUUUGUUAGAUUUUUUUCCUUUGGUAUUUCAUGUUUAUAGAAGUUCUUUUGUAACAGAUAAUACACACAUCAAAGGGCAUAAAAUAUAAAUGUACGGCUUAAUAUAUAAUUAUGAAGGAAGAACACAUGGACCCACUACCCAGGCCAAGAAAAAAUAUGCCAGCAUCCCCAGAAGCCACAAAUGCCUUCCCAGCCAAACCCCUCUCCCUCCACCCAGUCAUCCAUCCGUCCAUCAUCCAUCUGUCCACCCAUCCACCCACCCAUUGAGCCAUCCGCCCAUCCAUCCAUCCAUCCAUCCAUCCAUCUCUGGGUAUUUCAGAGCUUCCUUGGUCUAUUUGUCUAUCCCUGUGCAAAACCCACACUAUCUUAAUUAUACACACAUUGACUUCUUUGAAAAUUCCUUCCUUUGCUUUUCUUUGGUUUUACCACUUAAGCACAUAUUCCCCAAAACCCUAGUUUAGUUUCUGAACUUUGUACAAAUAGAAUAACACCCUUUGAAUUUUUUGGUAUUUGGCUUUUGUUAUUUAACAGUAUGCUUGUAAAUUAUUCACCUUAUUGUGAAUAGCUGUAAUGUGUUCAUUUUUAAUAUUGUAUAGUAUUGAUAUAGUAUCAAUGAAAUAAGUUGUGGAUAAAUACCAUUACUUGCUUAUCAAUUAUACUGAUGGACAGUUGAGGGCUUCCCAGUUUGGGCCAUUAAAAAUAGUGCUGCUGUGAACAUUCUUUUACAUGUCUCGUUGCAUUCCUCUUUGUCAGGCAUCAGGUAUCUGUCCAUCCAUCCAUCCACCCAUUCAUCCAUCCAUUUAUCCAUCCACCCAUUCAUCUACUCACCUGUCCGUCCAUCCGUUCAUCCAUCCAUCCUCUCAUCCAUUCAUCCAGCCAUCUCUGGGUGUUUCAGAGCUUCCUUGGUCUAUUUGUCUAUCCUUGUGCAAAACUCACACUUUCUUAAUUAUAUAUGCUUAAUUAUCCUAAUUAUAUGUAUAGUUUUAUAAUUAGUCUCGAUAUCCUCCCACCUUGCUCUUCUUUAAGAGUCUCUUGGCUUUUCAUGUUCGAUGCUUACCUCAGCUGUGCAUGAUCCUUGCCUAUCAGUUCACGUAUAGGAGUGGGGCCCGGUGUGAGGCUCAGCCUGUAGUGUGAAACUGAAAGCGCAGUGGAAGAUUGAAAUAAGAAAAUGUUUUGCUGAAACACAUCAAGAGUCCUAUGGAAAACUUGUUGGAGAUGUGCCUACAGAACCCCUAGAUGGACAGGUUCAGUCGGCAGCUGGACAAAUAAAGAUCGGCGCUGGUCUGGGCGUUCCCCAGCGUGUUGGCGGAGGUCACUCACCCCAAGAAAUCUAGCUGUCAAAUGUCCCUCACCUCACCUGGCACAUCUGUUUCCAGAACCCACCCUUCUCUCCCUGCACAGGAUUAUCGUCUUCAAGAAACAUCAAGCAUCUUGGAUGGAAGUGUCAGUGCUGCUCCCCUCAGGCAAAGACACCCAGGCCAAGACCAUUUCCUGCCCUGAAACUUGGGGCUCUCUGAGGAGAAAGCUUGGUGUACCUCGAGUUGUCCGAGGAUGGGCACCUUGACAAGACUAGGGACGAGUGAUGAAGGUGGAUUUUUGUCAUCCAGAAACUCCCAAGCGUUUCUUCCUUCUCCCAGCUUCCUUCCCAGGACCUAGUUUUCCAUUUUGCCUUCUGAUCUUGUAUAUUUACUCCCACCCAAAAAAACCAAAAGGAAGGGCCCAAAACACGGUCUAAGAAAAAGUGGCCUGUUCUCCUUCUCAAAGCCUGAAAAAUCACAUUUUUCUGACCAUUUGGAUUCAUUUCCGCAAGGACUUGUUGGGACCAAAUACAACAUUUCCUGUAGAAAAUACCUGCUUCGGGAGGGAUCUGUUAUGCCCGGUGGCCCUUCCAUCUCUGUCUCACCUGGACUGGGAACUCUUCAAGGAAACGUCCAGAUUGGGGGCUUCCUUUCAGCAGGGAUGAUGGGAAGUCAUUUCAUAAACUGCAAUGAUUUCCAGGCUGCCCCCCACCCGCUGAUGUACACACUGUUGGCCGCUCUUCUGGAAAAUGGGGAUUAAGCUACGGACAGAGACACAAUCCCUGUAGUCAGUGAGUUUCCAGCCUUCCUCUGGGAAGUGUGGGAAAUGCUGAUGCCCACCUCAAGGGGUUCUGGGAGAUUCUGAUGAGAUAAUGCAACUAAAAUGCUUAGGCUGGGCUCGAGCACACAGCGAAUGCCCAAUCAGUGUUUUAGUUGCUAUUAUAUGUUCGGGGGUGGGGGGCGGUGUUUGAAAGAGCGUCUGUGGCUCAGGAUUUCGACAACCACACUACCAAGAUGCUGGAAAGCAGGUGCUGGGGGAAAUAGGGCGGGGAGGAAUGCAAGAAUUCUAGAAUGCUGGUCAUGUCCCCAUGUCGGUUUGGUUUAGCUCAGGGUGUUUUUCCACAUCACUUAUUAGGCAAACUUUUAAAAUGAGAAACUGACAUUCCCUUGCAGAGGCCGAGGGAGGAACUAGAAAGAUUUCAUUUCGCUCCACAGUCAGGCCUGUGAGGCAGAGAGCCCUCCAAACAUGGCAGCUUUGAGAAGAACAGGAAAAGGGCGUAGGAUGCAGAGCGUCGGCCAUGAUUGGAGAGGAUGAACCCAGCUCGCUCCCUGCGGUGUCUACACUGCACCAUCCUUCACGGCUCUGGGGUCCGAGGUUGGCCCGCCCCCGACUGGAUUGGUUUUCUCUAUCGGCUUCCUCUCUCCCUCCCAUUUCACUUGGCAAAUCCCUCCACUUCAUCCGUGAUUCAUUCAUUCCACAAAUAUUUUGUGAAAGUGCUGGAGACACAACAGGAAAUCAGUCCUUUGCAUUCAAGAAAGCGAUAAUGAAAUCGUUGUCGUUGUUGUUAGUCUGUAUUGAGACUUCGCUCCCCCCCCCCCCCCCCCGUCCCGGGAAAUCUUCUAUCGAACAUGAGAAAUCGUAGAAGACAAUGGACAUUUCUAAUAGGAGAUUGAGAAUUCCAGAAUGAAAAAACAAACCCUCCGUUGGGGGGAGGGGAACGGAGAAGGAAGAACAAUGAUAAAAUACCCAGAAAUGCCCCCAAACGGUGAGGAAAGGACAGUCAGAAGUCGGAUAUUGCCACAUCCUGGAAAUAGCACUUAGCAAAUGAGGAAAUUUCGUAAGGCGAUUUCUUGCCGUAGUUCGGCCUGUCUCAUCCUGCGAAUUUCAGCAUACCCAUUCACCCCUCGGUCACUCCGUUUCCCACAUCUGCACCGUUAACCCGGUCUAAGCUAACUGGGUGGGUGUAGGUAGAGUACAGUGAAAAUGAGGCGCUGUGCAUAAAAGUGCACUGGGACUGGGAGACGCCAUAUAAAUGGUGAGGAGAAAGGUUUUUAAAAGUCCCUCCUAACACUGCUGAGCUCCUCCGCCCUCCAGGUACCGUCUUUCUUGAAGU